ACUGUCAAGCUUGGUAGUAUGGCUCCGAUUGAGCUAUUAUUUACAUUUUAUCUUUUAUUCAAAUCAGCAGUCCUAGAAAUACAACAUAGAACCGGUGAUGCAGAUGGAGGUGUAGGGGUACGCGAAUUUUAAAUCAAGUGAACGAGAAUUCAAAGAAAGUAAUGAAUGCUUGCAUUAUGCGAGGGCCGAAGCGUUAGCAGUAUAAGAUAAAACACCAGGCAUUGAGUACUUUGAUAAAUUCUGGCGGAUGUCCUUCUGUACAUUACUAGUACGUGAGGAGAUACCAGUAGUUUCUAAAAACUACAUUCGAUGAAAAAAGUGCUUUAUUUAUGAUCACUUAACGCGAAUCCGAACGGUUGUGUGUCAAGUGAGCAGCUCAAGUGAUAUCAGUACGGUUAACGGUCAGAGAACGGUUAAUAUAAAAUAAAUAUUUAAGAUUACUCAAAUAUAUAUUGUAAUUCUUUGUGUUAAAACAGAAAAAAAAACAAUACUUAAAUAAUUAAAUAACUAAAAUAUGUGCCAUGACUCUCGCGCUCAGCGUCAGCACGAGGAAGACGAACCCCGGCUCUCAAUUCAACGUAACAAAGCGUACUUUUCUUAUGUCUUCGCAAACGCAACUGCAAAAGCAGAAAACGAGCGGCCAAGAACCCAUAACCCAACAAACCUUCUUGUACCAACAAAUCAAGAAACAGCGUGCUCUUGCUCUCCUGCACUUCUAGCUCUGACACAAGACCCGAUCUCUGCAACAACAACUGGAACAAUACUGACAGCCCGCUCUACUGCGCCGUUGGCUGCACCCGCUCACGCUCUUACUGAGUCAGCGAAAACAAAAACAAAAGCGCAAGAGCCAAACGGUACUGCUGCACAACUAGCAAAAUAAAACUCAAACAAAAAGUAGGGUCGGCCUCGCAGACUGGAAUGGACCGCUACAUUAUAAUAAAGCGGAAGCUUAGGCCUAAAAAUUCCGGUACAGAAAAAAAGCCGAAAAAUAUACGCGACAAUACUUCCUUGAUCAACAAUGAAGCAAAUAACAACAGAUUCGCUUUGCUGGCAGAUACCAACGAGGACGUGCCACUGAAAUCCGUCGAUAAUGAACGAAAGCAAAUAAAGUCUCCCCGAAUUUACAUCCACAAGAAGAGCACAAACGGUUUGAUUGGCCUUUUUAGAAAAAAUAGUUUUGAGAUAAUACCCCUCGUAAGAGGGGUUUUAUAUUAAUGAAAUCAUACUUCAAACGAAAACGGAGGAAAACUACAGAAAAACAUGUUUUUACACCUACCAGCUUAAAAGUAGCAAGGGUCUACAAGUAGUACUUAAGGGCAUUGGGCCUGAUGUAAAGCAUGUAGAGAUAGCUGAAGCGCUAAAAGAAAAGGGAUUUUGCACAAAAAGCGUACACAAUAUCAAAAACAGAAACAGGCAGCCGCAACCACUCCUUAAGAUUGAGCUUUAACCAGAAAACAAGCAUCUAAAAAAAAAACGAGGUACAUCCAAUUUUUAAACUCCUACACCGUAGGAUUACAGUAGAAGAGCCGCAUAAACGUAACGCUCCUGUACAAUGUAUUCGCCCAGUGUGUGUAGUCUGUGGAGAUCUUCACGUCUCCACACACUGCCAAGCUAAUAAAGAAAAUGCAAGCGCGAAAAGGUGCGGUAACUGUGGGGGUAAUCACACAGCAAACUACAAAGACUGUCCAAUCUAAAAAGAGAUGAACACCCGUCUCCACAAAAGAAUGAACACGGCACGCGUACACCAAGGAACACCAUCGAAAACAAAUCCAGAAGUACUUUUUUCGAAACCAGAAGUAUCGCUCCCUGGCCUAUACCAAGCACUAACAAUAUAAGUUUUGCAGACGUUUUAAAAUCAGGUAUGACGCCUGCAACCCAAAACUCCCAAACCUCACAUGAAGAACACACAAAAUUGGGCACACAACAAAACUAUAGGUCAUCUGAGCAGCAAGAAACGAAAAGUGAAGCUAUGAUGCAAGCCUUACAAAAGAGCAUAAUGGAAUUCAUGACAUUUAUUCGAACCACCGUUCAAGACAUGAUGCGUAAUCAAAACCUUUUGAUACACAUGCUUGUCUCCCAACAAUCAAAAUAAAUAAUGGCUUCCAUACGCAUAGCUACGUGGAACGCCAAUGGCGAUUCACAGCGCAAUCUUGAGCUAGCUCAAUUCCUACAAGAGAAGUAUAUUGACGUGUUGCUGCUUUCUGACUUAUCUUACAAGCAAAUACAAUUUUCAAAUAAGAGAUUACCACUUCUAUGGUGCAAAUCACCCCGAUGGUAGAGCACACGGUGGGACCGGCAUUCUAAUUAGGAACCGUAUGAAGCACCACGUUUACAAAGAGUUCAGGCCAAAUCUAUCAAUAUACAGCUGGAGGACAACACUCACCUCACACUAGUGGCCGUAUACUGCCAUCCAUUCAUACGCAAGCAGCUCGUAAUGCAACACCUAAAAUCACAAACAUUACAAUUAAUCCUAAAAGACUAACACGCAAAUCGAGCAACUCGUCCACGCAAAACGACGAUAACGUAGAGAAUGGCGAUCUUUCAGAUAACCAUCUGCAAAACAAAAGCUAAAAAUAGCCAGACGGAAGCUGACCAACGCUCUGAAACAAGAGGAAGAAUACGCUCAGAGCCGAUAUACAUAUAAAGUAACUUUCACCAACAGGUACUAAACAUAAGUCACUGUGGAGAGCCCACUCUUCGCCCACCGACUGAAACCUUUUUGCCCAUAAGAAUUCCUCAGGCAGCUGGACACGUAGUGAUGCAAACAGAGCCACCACAUUUGCCGCUCACCUACAAAAUGUAUUUACGCCAAACGAGCAACUACUAGCACAUUUGCACCCCAAUUGCGUUUCGUCCAAAAGAAAUAUCUAACAUAUUACCCCGGAAAUAAUAAUCUAGCUGCCGCAUUCCGCAAUUCGCUACCUAACGCAGCUCUUUUAUGUCAUCACAAAACUUGGGUACUUUCCACAACGAUGGAAGAGAUCGAUGAUUCCAAAGUCUGGCAAGGACCCUCAGGAACAGGACCCAGUUCCCUCAUCCUACAGACCAAUAAGUCUUACUCUCAUGUAUAUCAAAACUAUUCAAAAAAUGCCUGCUAAUCCUGGGCCUGAGAGCCCACAAUAUAACCCAGCCCAUCAAUUUGGCUUUCGCGAAAGACACGGUACACGAAAGACAUUGAACAGGUGAAUCGAAUAACAACGGAGAUAGGAACUGCAUUUGAAAAUCGAGAAUACUGUACAGCCGUAUUUCUAGACGUAUCCCAAGCAUUCGACAGAGUCUGGCUAGACGGCCUAAUUUUUAAAGUUUACUCUGCUUUACCCGAAAGCACAAAAAAAAUUUUAAAGUCAUACCUAUAUGACAGAAAGUUUGCAGUACGGUGCAACUCUGCCACUUCCAC